CUUGUAGAUCAUCUAGGGUUAUUUCAUGGUUUUCAUUCAAAGUAGGAGAGAAAAUUUUCCCAGGUACCUGAAAACUUCUAAAAAAUGCUGUAAUUUUUGGAGCAAUUGCAGCUAUAUUGAUCACACGGUGAUCUGAUAUAAGAGCAUGAUGCCUCUAGACUCUCAGAUUAAGGUGAGAUAAAACAACCUGAAUUCUGUAUGUCAC
rnacentral:lncRNA from 1 species